CGCGCGGCGGGGACCAUGGCGUGGGGAGCGCGCGUGGCGGGGCGCGCCCUCGGUCCCUUCCCGGGAGGUGGGUGGUUGACGGGCCCGCCGGGGAGCCAGGGAGCGCCGGGAAGCGCCGGGAAGCCAAGCUGCAGUGUUCCUCAGCAACAAGUCUCGCUGAGAUCCGACCCAGAGUUCGGCCUCUGACUAGACGCCUGGGAAUCCGUGAGCUUAAUCCCCGCUUAAAUCCCAAACGGAAAAUCAUAGCGCUUUCUUGUCGGUUAAGGGUGUCAUUCCCAUAAGAAGCUGGACCUGGGGACCGCCAGGGAAAGCCUGAGCGUGGCAGCAAAUGGGGAGGCCUGGAGGGAUCGCAGCAGUCUUGGACUCGGGAUCUGAAAUUCUCUCCCUAGGAUUUGUAAACAGUGCCAGUUCCUAAGCUAUUUGUUGUCCUAUGGUCUGUCCAUCUUUAAAUCCCACCAGUAACAAUCCAAUCUCCAGGCUGACCCUCUAAACCUGCUUUAGCUGGGCGUUGAUCCGCAGCACCACCAGAAGGCAGUGACGAAGAGGGAAAAAUAAAGUGAACUAGGACCUCCUGUAGAAUAACUCCUCCUGUGGAAUAACUCCUCCUGUGGAAUAAGGUUAUGGAAUAAUCAUGCUUUUUAAUAUUCCUGUCUGAUGGGCUUUAUAAUUCCAUAAUUACAGGAAGACCUCCACCAAAUAAGGCAUCCAUAAAAGAGUCUGGGGAGAAUUAUGAACACCCAGGCCACAAUUUAUAUCAUGUUGUUUUUAUACAUUUGCAGAAAUUUGCAGAAUUCUGCAAUCUCAAAAUCUAAUUUUUAUUUUCCUCAAUGAUUUCAGAAUAACUCUGAUUUAUUUUUAACAGUUUAAGAUGCUACGUGGGAACAAGGCUAUAGCCCAUAUUACUGGUUUGUUACGUAAGAUUUUUCUCGUACUUGGCCGGGCGCGGUGGCUCACGCCUGUAAUCCCAGCACUUUGGGAAACCUAAGGCGGUGAAUCACCUUAGGUCAGGAGUUCGAGCCCAACCUGGCCAACAUAGUAAAACCCUGUCUCUACUAAAAACACAAAAAUUAGCUGGGCGUGGUGGCGGGCGCCUGGAGUCCCAGCUGCUUGGGUGGCUGAGGCAAGGGAAUCGCUUGAGCUUGGGAGGAGGAGGUUACAGUGAGCCAAGAUUGCGCCGUUGCACUCCAGCCUGGGCGACAGAACAAGACUCCACCUCAAUUGUCGUACUUUAUGAUUGGUAGGAUCCAUUUCAUUCAUAUAAUAUGUAUCAAAAUUCUGUUAAUACACAAUUCAGAUUUUAUCCGUAUUAGGGGGAAAGAGAUGGCACUUAAUCAAACAUGACUACAAAAUUACAGAAUGGUCAGGAAUUGUUGGCUUACCUAAAUCGAAAAAGCCAUGAGAGCAUUAAUUUGUUUUUUAAGUUGUCACAUAUCUGUGGGAUUUGUGGGUUAAGAAUAAAAUAAUCUGAAAAUAUUGUGUGCCCUUCUAUUUUGCGAAUAUUUCCCUCAUCUCUCAUGAUACACAUUUUUAUGUUUAAUUUUAAGUUAGUUAAGUCAUUUGAAUUUAAGUUAAUUCAGUGUCAUUUCAGGGCACAAUUACAAACGUGUAAAAACAG
rnacentral:lncRNA from 10 species